rnacentral:rRNA from 1 species
UAGUCCACGCCGUAAACGAUGUCAACUAGCCGUUGGGAGCAUAUAAGCUCUGAGUGGCGCAGCUAACGCGAUAAGUUGACCGCCUGGGGAGUACGCCGGCAACGGUAAAACUCAAAGGAAUUGACGGGGGCCCGCACAAGCGGUGGAGCAUGUGGUUUAAUUCGAUGCAACGCGAAAAACCUUACCUACCCUUGACAUCCUCAGAACUUGUUAGAGAUAACUUGGUGCCUUCGGGAACUGAGUGACAGGUGCUGCAUGGCUGUCGUCAGCUCGUAUCGUGAGAUGUUGGGUUAAGUCCCGCAACGAGCGCAACCCUCAUCCUUAGUUGCCAUCAUUUAGUUGGGCACUUUAAGGAAACUGCCGGUGAUAAGCCGGAGGAAGGUGGGGAUGACGUCAAGUCCUCAUGGCCCUUACAGGCUGGGCUACACACGUGCUACAAUGGUAUCUACAGUGAGCAGCGAUCCCGCGAGGGUUAGCUAAUCUCCAAAAGAUAUCUCAGUUCGG